UACGAAGGGGGCUAGCGUUGCUCGGAAUCACUGGGCGUAAAGGGUGCGUAGGCGGGUCUUUUAAGUCAGGGGUGAAAUCCUGGAGCUCAACUCCAGAACUGCCUUUGAUACUGAGAAGCUUGAGUCCGGGAGAGGUGAGUGGAACUGCGAGUGUAGAGGUGAAAUUCGUAGAUAUUCGCAAGAACACCAGUGGCGAAGGCGGCUAUCUGGACGGUUUCUGACACUAAGACUCGAAAGCGUGGGGAGCAAACAGG
rnacentral:rRNA from 1 species